CACGUAGGGUGCGAGCGUUGUCCGGAAUUAUUGGGCGUAAAGAGCUCGUAGGCGGUGUGUCGCGUCGGCCGUGAAAACCUGCAGCUUAACUGUGGGCGUGCGGUCGAUACGGGCAUCACUGGAGUUCGGCAGGGGAGACUGGAAUUCCUGGUGUAGCGGUGAAAUGCGCAGAUAUCAGGAGGAACACCGGUGGCGAAGGCGGGUCUCUGGGACGCAACUGACGCUGAGACGCGAAAGCGUGGGGAGCAAACAGG
rnacentral:rRNA from 1 species